CCUUCAGUGGCAUCAACCAGAAACAGAGAAGACAAGGAGAGGCCCAGGGAGAGUGCCUCUCAUGUCGCCACAUGGCUGCUGGGACACGAAUGGGCUCGGGCAGGGAGAGGCGUGGCGGUCAAGGGCCUGGGUGGGAGUCAAGGGCCUUCAGGACAGGGUCUGGCUCUGCCUCUGACAUGCCCUGUGACUUUGAACGAGUUGCCAGUCCAUCUGGAGCCUCACUAACCCAUUUCUGAAAUGAGAAGGAGAGGGAGCGCUCCGUGGUCACCGAGGGCUCUCCGCUCCUACAAAGAGAGAGCCAUCCAAGUACAUUCCUCUCAUCUGCAACUGCAGAAACCAGAUCUCUGGCUCCGGAUCCUGAGGCCUCUCAGAGCGAAGGGGAGGAAAUCCGGCCAUAACCACACAGUACGCAGGUGGGAAGUGAAGGGCGUCAUCAUUUCUUCUCCAUCUAAUGUGUGCUCCAUUAACUAUGUCUGCAGGAAGCGGUCCUUCCUACAUUCCAGCCAGUGUGAAUGCGUGAGAAGCCAAGACCUCCAAGAAGAAGCCCUUGGCUCUGCCAAGUCACUCAGCUCGGAACCGGGGCACUCUCUGCACACCACUGCCCCCUGGUGGCCGAUUUGGGAAUUCUCCAUGACUAGCCUCAGGUGUCCAGUGGAGGCAGAGGGAAUCCGGGAACUGAAGGUGGGGAGGAAGUUGAGUGGCAUCCCAGAGGUCUGAAAACCCAUGACAUCCUGGUCUGAGAAUGUCUGAGUCCAAGAGGCCCUCAGAGGCCAUGUGGCCUGACUUCUUCAUGAUGUACGGGGAAAGCAAAUCUCAGUAAGGAUGCUGUCAGGGGGUAGAGAUCACCGGACUUGGUGUAA